CGCGGGGCGCGGGGCGCGGGGACGGUGGCGGGCGCCCGGCCCGGCGGCUGGACUUACUCGGGUCGCCACUGCGGCGGCGCGCGGCCGAGGAACCGGUUCUUCCCGAGACAAACCGAAAAUGGCUGCACUUAUCCAAUAAAAGGAGAAGAGGGAAGAGAGUGGCCCGAAUAGAGACGUGUCUACGGACGUAAAUGUACAAGGAGCUCACCGGCGGGGAUUUUUGCGGAAGGACCUCAAGGAUGCCGUUUCCCGGGCUGUUUGGAAAUAGACGUAGAUUAUUUCCCCCCAAAGAUUAUGAACAGUUCUUUUGUCCAAAUCCAAGGUGCAAUAAUGCAUAGGCUCCCUAAAACGGGCCAUUCAAAUUUUAGUUGUUUAGAGAUGUCUGAAGUCCUCAAGAAUUAGAGAAGUAAAGAUGAAAAGACAUCUUUUUAAGGAUCUGUUUUGGGCAGCUUAACAGGUAGGCAGGAUACCCGAAAGAGCUGUUUACUUCAGAAUAUGCCUUCUAGUGGCUAAGAGUCCAUAUCAUUCUAAAACAAAAUCAAAAGACAAACUGUCAGUGUGUAUGCAUCAUUUGACAAAUAAAAUCGAACACAAAUUUCCUUUGGAAAGGGGAGAUAGAUCAGAGUACUACCGCUGAUAUUUCAAUCAAGUCUAGAUUGAAGAAAAAAGUAUUCCCUCCAUAAGAACUGUUCAGUUUUGUUUUUCUUUUCUAACAUGUCUUGAGUUAAACAAAACAUGUUAACAAGAUUGUAAUGAAAACUCUUCGUGAUGUAAACAUCCAAAGAAAUUCUAGAUUGAUUAUAUUCUGGGACCGCAAAGAUUUUAUUACUAGAUAUCACUUGAAGCAGUGGAACCAGAGGCCGAAAGCCUUAGGACUCUAACUGGGUGGUUGAGGAGAUUUUUAGAGGACUACCUCCCAAUUAAAAAAAAAAAAAAAAAAAAAAAAACCUCAUAAAAUG